AAUCGCAGUAAAUAGGGUUUUACGAAAUUGUGGACUGUUUAUCGCAGUUCUGGUCGCUACACAACAGUUAUCUUGUGGGGCAGGUUACCAAUCUUUGUGGUGAACCUGUCACGCCCUGGAAAGGAAAGUGUGCUUGCUUUAGUAAGGUAUUGUCUACAAGAUGAAGUCUAUGAGGAAUGCUGCUGAACUGAUGGAAUUACUGCAAUUACCUGAUGAAAAACCUCUCCCUUCAACUGUGUCCACAAUCAGAUGCCCAGUUUUGGGAAGGAUCCAUUUUGUAAGGGAUCCCAAAGGCAUCAUGCAGCUCAUGUGUGUGUUGUUCUACUGGGUGUAUGGAACGUUCUCCAGCUUGUUUAUUAUCCUAAUUCCAAGAUAUGCAGAGGGGUAUAUUUCUGGAAUCUUCCUGACAGUGUUUAUGUCCAUCUCCUUGUUGUGUCUGACAUCUCUUAUAAGAGUAUCAACUCUAAAUCCCGGAAGAAUUCCAACAUCCAGCAUCUAUGAAAAUGAGCACUGGACAUAUUGCCGAGUGUGUAACAGAAAGCGCCCUCAGCGUGCUCAUCACUGUAGAAGAUGUGGUCAGUGCGUUAUGAAAAUGGAUCACCAUUGUCCAUGGAUAAACAACUGUGUUGGAGAACAAAAUCACUAUGCAUUCUUCCUCCUGCUGCUUUAUGCCUUCCUUUUGAGUGCUGUUGUCUUCCUGUUAUGCAUGCUUCAUUUUUGGGUUUACCCAAAAUGUAAGCAAUGUGAUAAGGAUGCUUUCUAUGUCAAACACAGCAUAUGGUUCUUGUAUCUACUUACUUUGAUGGCAGCUAAUAUGACACUUGUGAUGGGGAUACAGCUCAUUGGGCAACAUUUCAAUUUGCUAAUUGACAGAACAACACUUGAAAAUAUCCAGCAACCUCCAGAUCCUACUAGGUAUAAACUUAUGGAAUAACCGUUCUUGUAAGAUAGCUGCUGUCAUCCAGGCAUCCUUGGAGGUGGCAUAGAUAGCAGCCCCUGAGGGUGCCUGACGGGACUCCAGUGCUGCGACUGACGCUGGCCUGUGACUCUCCAUUCCUAACUCUCUUGAUGAGGGCCAAUUUGUCUGCAACUGAUACAGUUGAGAGGUACUUUCGCAGCAUAUGAAGAAAUGUGUGGAAGAAAACGAAGCAUGAUGUUUCUAUGGUUCAUCCCUUGUAAGAGGAGA
rnacentral:misc_RNA from 1 species